ACGAACGCUGGCGGCGUGCUUAACACAUGCAAGUCGAACGGAAAGGCCCUGCUUUUGUGGGGUGCUCGGGUGGCGAACGGGUGAGUAACACGUGAGUAACCUGCCCUUGACUUUGGGAUAACUUCAGGAAACUGGGGCUAAUACCGGAUAGGAGCUCCUGCUGCAUGGUGGGGGUUGGAAAGUUUCGGCGGUUGGGGAUGGACUCGCGGCUUAUCAGCUUGUUGGUGGGGUAGUGGCUUACCAAGGCUUUGACGGGUAGCCGGCCUGAGAGGGUGACCGGCCACAUUGGGACUGAGAUACGGCCCAGACUCCUACGGGGGGCAGCAGUGGGGAAUAUUGCACAAUGGGCGGAAGCCUGAUGCAGCAACGCCGCGUGCGGGAUGACGGCCUUCGGGUUGUAAACCGCUUUCGCCUGUGACGAAGCGUGAGUGACGGUAAUGGGUAAAGAAGCACCGGCUAACUACGUG
rnacentral:rRNA from 1 species